rnacentral:lncRNA from 1 species
ACCAACAGAGGCUGAAGAAGCAUGUGUGCGGCCUGCACAGGUCUGCUCCAGGUCCUCUAUAUAUAUAUAAUGGCAUCCAGGAAAAUAAAGAGCCAACGGAUAGAAUUCUGUGAGGCACUGACAUCUGGACGUGAGAUGACUGCUACACUCAGGAACUCACAGAAUCUAUGAUGCCAGUCAGCAGCCAGCAUGGACAGGAGAGGAGACCAUGAGGCCCCAUGCCCAGCUGAGGAACCGCUGGCAGUUGAGGAAGAUGACUGAAACAUAGGAGAUCUAGCCACUGGAGAAUUGCUCCAAAUUACUGCUCUAAACAAGAUUCUACCCUGGCUCUGCCUCACACACUCAAUACAGAGCAGCAAAUGCUGAGGGUUGUACACCUCAUUUGAUGGACUUAAGAAGAAAAACUCUUCUAGGCUUUCUGCUUGAGCCUAUGUUUACUAUUGUGGUGUGACCGAGGUUAAUGUGUCUGAACCAGUUCUGGGCAUUGGAGAACACAUACUCCCUCUUCUCUCUCAGCAGCAAGAGA